CCUUAGCUCUGACCAGGUCGCGGCCUACGUCAUCACUGGUCAGAGGCCAAGGUUAUGCGUCACUGAUGCGUGUGUACGUAACCACUCAGUCCACUGUGUUGCUGUGUAGUUUACAUAGACAGAAAGAUUUCUUUUGAAACAAAUAGAAUCUUCAUCUAAAUAUAUGAUUUAGACUUUUCAAAAUAUUCAUCAUGGAUUAAAACUCUAGAUCUACAAUGGUGAACAAAUGUCUCGUUUUGUAAAGGAUCUAGAUCUAGCACUACUAGUAACUAGCAGAUAUCUGAGAUAUGCUUUCCGAUUACCAAAAGAUGAUGAAUGGUGGCUUAGAAAGAAAAAAUGGCCAGCGGUAAUACCUUUGGCUUAGUAGAAGGAUUAGAUCUACGUACCAUUAAAGGAGUACUCUAAAAUCUGCCAUUAACAUUUUCAAGACGAAGUAUCAUGGACAGUAUUGAAGGAUUACGUACUAUAAAGGAAUACUCUAAAAUCUGCCAUUAACAUGUUGAAGACGAUGAAGUAUUGUGGACUAGCUACUACACAUGAAAGAGUAGAGAGUGCAUUAAAAAAAGUGUUAAGUCUCAGGAAGUUGCAGGAUGUCUGCCUGGUCUUGUGGUUUGCGCGCUGGACUGUCGUUUGGAUUUAUCGAUGUCUCUGGUUCAAACCCUGCCCGCUCCCAUCCCCUGUCGUCAACUCUGAAGGAACAUCCGAAACAUGUCAAACAUAUAAGGAUAUAAUAGUAAAAAAAACAUAUCAGUGAUUUCAGUGAAUUUCAAGAUAGUGUAAGAAAUAUAAAUGUGUCUUCGUUUUGGAUGUUCUUUGUCAAGAGGAGUGUAUGAUUUAUGUACAUUGUAAAGGUUCUGGUCCAGUUAAGGUAGUAUAUAUAUUCUAUUGUUCUUGGUACAUCUCUUUGAUGUUUUUUUUUUAAACAAACAGAAGUAUUUGGUAAAGGUGAUAAGCUACUUCUUAAAACUGUAUUUGUUAGAACUCAUAGAACAAUAUUCUACAAAAAAUUUUACCAACAAUACUAACAGUUUUUAAAUGCUAUUAAAGAAAACACUAAGUACACAAAUACAAAAAAUGACAAUGAAAUAAAUAUAUUAAAUUGACUUAAACCAAACAGGACUAAAUAAGAAGACCAUGUCACUUUUUAUGGACUAUCUAAAUUAAGUAUUGUCUACCCACAUCCUGCAGAUUCCUGCUUAUAUAAGUUAUUGACCAUGUACACUACAUAUAUUUAAAGGUUUAAGAUACAGUGGGAUAAAUCAAAAAGAUGAAAAUAUUUCUUUUAUCUUUCCUAAUUUUAAAUAUUCAUCAAAACAUCAUAAAGGUUCUCUGUAAGUCUAACUGUUAGAUGUUAUGUUAUGGGUAAUUAUCUUGUUUUUUGAAGUAACUUGUGUAAUCUAUAAGAUAAGAUAUGUUGCUGGUUAUUGUGUUCAUGUGGUUCUAAAGAAAUUUAAUGACUGGGGAUGGGAGCGGCCAGGGUUUGAACUUGGGACCAUCUCCACCAGGCAGCCAUCCAUAUAUAUAUAAUAUAUAAUUUAAAUAACAUUAACAUUAUAUGAGCAAACCGCUUGAACAGGCAGCCAUCCAUAUAUUUAAAUCACAUUAACAUUAUAUGUAAUCAUUGUAUUUUUAAAAUUUGUAUUGUAAAUUAUUGAAAUUUUUUUUUUCCAUAUGUUCAUUAAGCAAUUGCAAUAAAAACUUAACUCAUUAAAGUGGUAUCCUUUGUCUGCAAAUAAAAUUGCUAUAUAACACCACA